AUUCAAUCGAUGUGUCCUAAACAGAACGAAACGUACGUCCUGGAU
rnacentral:hammerhead_ribozyme from 1 species